rnacentral:rRNA from 1 species
GAUGAACGCUGGCGGCGUGCUUAACACAUGCAAGUCGAACGGAGAUGUCAUUUUUGAAGCGAUUAGCUUGCUAAGAGUGGAAAUGCUGGCAUCUUAGUGGCGGACGGGUGAGUAACGCGUGGGUAACCUGCCUUGCACUGGGGGAUAACACUUAGAAAUAGGUGCUAAUACCGCAUAAGCGCACAUUCCCGCAUGGGAGAGUGUGAAAAACUGAGGUGGUGCAAGAGGGACCCGCGUCUGAUUAGCUGGUUGGCGGGGUAACGGCCCACCAAGGCAACGAUCAGUAGCCGGCCUGAGAGGGUGGACGGCCACAUUGGGACUGAGACACGGCCCAA